UACGUAGGGUGCAAGCGUUGUCCGGAAUUAUUGGGCGUAAAGAGCUCGUAGGCGGUCUGUCGCGUCGGAUGUGAAAACCCGGGGCUUAACCCCGGGCCUGCAUUCGAUACGGGCAGACUCGAGUGUGGUAGGGGAGACUGGAACCCCUGGUGUAGCGGUGAAAUGCGCAGAUAUCAGGAAGAACACCGGUGGCGAAGGCGGGUCUCUGGGCCACUACUGACGCUGAGGAGCGAAAGCGUGGGGAGCGAACAGG
rnacentral:rRNA from 1 species